rnacentral:rRNA from 1 species
UACAGAGGGUGCGAGCGUUGUCCGGAAUCACUGGGCGUAAAGGGCGCGUAGGUGGCCCGACAAGUCCGUGGUGAAAGCUCGACGCUCAGCGUCGAGUCGGCCAUGGAUACUGUUGGGCUGGAGCACUGUAGAGGCUCAUGGAAUUCCGGGUGUAGCGGUGGAAUGCGUAGAGAUCCGGAAGAACACCGGUGGCGAAGGCGGUGAGCUGGGCAGUUGCUGACACUGAGGCGCGACAGCGUGGGGAGCAAACAGG